rnacentral:ncRNA from 2 species
CUCUUAUCGAGAGUGGUGGAGGGACGGGCCCAAUGAAACCCGGCAACCGGCCCAGAAUGGGCGGCGGUGCCAAUUCCUGCAGAAUGUUACAUUCUGGGAGAUAAGAG